AGCCUAAGUGCCCAAGGAAAUGGAACAGCAGGGAGGGGGAGGGACAUCACACCCACUAUCAAAACUUCUUGUUAGUCUCUGGCUUCCACAUCCUUCCCCAAAACUUCAGCCCAAUUCACAGCCGCAUUUUUCCAUCUCUUUGCCAUUCCUCCAUGGGAGAGCUUUCUGUUGGUACAGGAAUAGCUGAGAAGUGGGAAAGAUCAAGGGUAGUAAGAGCUGCCCCCGAUAAUCUACAGAAAGCUUUGCUGGAAUGAGGUUGUGCAUCUCUGAACCUGAGCUAGAUUUGUUGGGUCAGGGACCAUACUUAUUUACUGGCCCAAGAAUUAGAAGAGGAGGUGUCUAAGAAAUGCUUGUUGAAUGAAUAAAUAAACAGCCGAGUGAGUGUUUAUAUGAGCCUGAAAACUGCCUGCACCAGCACAAAAGUAAAGCCCCAACACCCUCAGGUCACACCUACUGGAAAAAUAUAUGUCAGCCCCAGAAAAAUGUGGGCAACAUGAGGCAACUCCGGAGCAACACAGGAAACUGCCCUCCUCUUCUGGCCCCUCUUCCACUGUGAUGCUCAAAGUCUGUGAUGACCAAGUCUGGUCAUCUAAUCAGCAGGAUAUAAGAGGGUCAUUCUUCACUGCGGCCAUUCCAGUUUCCUGGAAACUUGGCUUUCUCCUGACCGUUUCCCCAGGAGCACGGUGGUGACAAGCUUGAGCUCUGACAUCAGAAAGUCCCCAGUUUGAAACCUCUAGCUUCUUACUCGCUAGCUAUGAGACUUUGGGCAAAUUAAUCUCUAAACCUCAAUUUCUCAAUCUGUAAAAUGUUCAAGGUCAAGCAACUCACUUUUCCACAUUGUAAUUGAUGAAACUAAAAUUCAGACUCAGAUCUGCCUCACUCCACAGUCUGUGCUUUUUCCUUCCCACUCAUCUUUUUCUCUUUCUAUUAAAAAUUUCAUAACACAUUUGAGAUUCUGUCUCAACUCAUAUCACUGAAAUCAUCUGUCACGUCUGAUGAUCAUAUAGAAGCCAGACUAAGAUUCAGCCACAAAUGUUAUGCCUAAACAUUUCUUAUUAUUUCUUUUUAAUGUUUCUCAUGUAUACAAUCAAACUCGCACCCUAGUAUUAUUGGCAGGCUAAUAUAUGCCCAUGAGACAUGUAGCUUAAAUCUCUAUGGGAUAGGAUAAGUAUUCUCCCUUUGUUUGUGAUUUGAAAGCUUUCCAUGGAUGCUAAAGCGAUUUGUUAAAAUACCUUCACCUGUAAGUGUUUUUCCUCUCUUAAAAGCCUAAUUCAUCUCUGAGUUUGUUUACUAAAAUAAUCUAAUUUGCUCAUUUUCUCUAGCCAUUCCAAGCUAAAUCCCAGGAAGUACUAAAGAAGCAAUGCACAGACACAGUAUCAUACAAUUUGAGACACAGUAUUAUAAAAUUGAUGUGAACUUCUAGGCACAGUGUGCUCACAGUCUGUCUGGAAAUAACUUUGUAGCAAGCAUAGUUCCAGUCUAGCUGCCUGGCAGCCUGGCAGGAUAUUAUUAUUACUGAUACUAAUUUACUUUUUAAUGUAAGUCUACCCAGAAUAUAUUAAAGAAGUUUCAAGAAAUCAGGAUCAUGGAUUAUAACCUGACGUAGUGCUAAGGAACCAUCAGUUCCAUGUAAGCAUUUGGUUAGCAAGUCUUUUUCAAAGGCCAUGCUUGAGAAACAGUUUUGCUCUCCCAAACAAUGUGUUGUAGUUUUUUUUAGCAUACUACUGUGCAGAUAAAUAAAUGAGAUAUUAAUGCCAUUGCAAGUUCUGGCUUUGUGUAGAGUUUUCUAGUGAAGCCUGUUUAGGAUCCUGGAUUUGUCCAAGCUGUUCUGAUUAUCCCAUCAUUUUUAACAUGGAUAAUCUACAAUCUUUCAUCUAUUACAUAAAUUGAAUUCUGGCACAAGUUCAACUGCUCUUCAUUGAAACUGAGAAAAAUUUUAGGAUCACUUUGCUGGAAUCCAAAGAAGAUGUUAAAUACUACCAAAAAAAAAAAAAGGCUGAAAACUGGUUUCCAAGAAUCUCUGGGGCAUCCUUAAGAACUCCCCUUGCAUGUUCAUUAGACGGCCCUUUACCCAAUGUAUCUCUAAUAGUCUGCUGAAAAUACUCAAAGGCAAGUAAUUUUCAUGUAAUCAACUAAACAAAAUGUUUAACAAAUAUGGCAAAUAUUAAUAUUUUUAACUGUUUAUGUAAAGUGCAAGAGAGUUAUUGAUUAGGAGAGUAGCUCUGAAGCCGAACAGCCUAGGUCUAAAUCCCGGUUCUUUCAUCAACAAGCUCCAUUACUGUUGAUAAGUUAUUUGAAUUAUCGGUGUCUUAGUAUCUUUCCUUAUAGAGGUGAUGAUUGCUCCUACCUAAUAGCACUGUAGCAAUCAUAUAUGCAGAGCUUAUCACACUAAUUGACAUUCAAAAAUAUUAGCUCUUAAAAAAUUAUUAUUAGAAAUUUGAGAAAAAGAAUCACACUAAAAAAGGAUAAAAGGCAUUGAAAAUAAUUCCCCCAAAAGAAAAUAAAAAUUUCUCAAAUCAUAUAGGACUUAUUUUGUAACAUUAAGAAGAUUCCAAUUAAUUCAAAUUAAAUGGAUGAU
rnacentral:lncRNA from 1 species